GAAAGAUAUUUCACUUGCUCACCAAGUAUCUGCACUGGGAUGAGGAGCCUCCAGGAAACAUCCACAAUGCUAUCACCAGCACCCUGAAGUCUUUUCUGGAAGACAGCAGUCUGAGGUUCCUGGAGAACAGCUGGUAUGGUUAUGAUCUUUGCCCUGCUACCUGGAACUACAUCUUCAGCCUGGAUCUUCUGUGUGCACAACUGGGCUGGACUUGGACCAUUACCAAUAUUAUACGGAAGUGGUAGCUCAGUGGUGAAGGCUCUGGAUUACA